rnacentral:rRNA from 1 species
GACAACGCUGGCGGCGUGCCUAAUACAUGCAAGUCGAGCGGAGUCACUUUGAAAGCUUGCUUUCAAAGUGACUUAGCGGCGGACGGGUGAGUAACACGUAGGCAACCUGCCCCUUAGACUGGGAUAACUACCGGAAACGGUAGCUAAUACCGGAUAAUUUCUUUUUUCUCCUGAAGGAAGAAUGAAAGACGGAGCAAUCUGUCACUGAGGGAUGGGCCUGCGGCGCAUUAGCUAGUUGGUGGGGUAACGGCCCACCAAGGCGACGAUGCGUAGCCGACCUGAGAGGGUGAACGGCCACACUGGGACUGAGACACGGCCCAGACUCCUACGGGAGGCAGCAGUAGGGAAUCUUCCGCAAUGGACGCAAGUCUGACGGAGCAACGCCGCGUGAGUGAUGAAGGUUUUCGGAUCGUAAAGCUCUGUUGCCAGGGAAGAACGUCCGGUAGAGUAACUGCUAUCGGAGUGACGG